rnacentral:lncRNA from 1 species
GAAAACCUGGCAUCCUGCCUCUUCCUUUCAGCAGCUGUAAGUCCAUCCGGAUGAGGAUGUGACAUCUGGAGCUGCAGCAGCUAUUCUGCAACCACGUGACAACGAAUUCCAAAAUGAAGAGCCAUGCUCUAGGAACAGUGAAGCAGAGGAUACCCCAGGCCUUCAGGAACGUCCCACCUGCAGGCCUGUUUCCUGAGAGGCCAUCAGAUGAUCGGCUUCAGAAGUGUUGCUCAGCCUUGCAACUGAAUUCAUUUCUAAUGGUGAAAAAUAAAACCAGUCCUUCACACCACCUGUGGAUCAUCAUCGGGAAAAGUAACUUUCUGAGACAGAGUCUCACUGUGUAGCCCGUAGUGGCCUGGAGCUUGCUAUGUAGACCAGGCCGCCCUUUACUCUGUAGACCAGGCUGGCCUCGGAGAUCCGCCUGCCUCUGUCUCCCAAAUGUUAGGAUUAAAAGAGUGCACCACCACACCUAACCUGCAUGUCAUCUCAACAGCUUUAAAGUCUGGCCUGUCACCCAGGUAGGGGUGACAGUGUGUCCCGCUCCUCCCGUACCUCCCUGGCCCCUUUCCCAAGAGGCGCCUGCCUAUGUGUUCUGUGCAGAAUUGUUGGUCAUUUGUGCAUUUUCAUGUAGUCAGGGAGAAAACCUGUUUGCUGCCUCUCAGAGAAAGUUCACAAGAAAUGAAAGACUUUG